UACGGAGGAUCCGAGCGUUAUCCGGAUUUACUGGGUUUAAAGGGUGCGUAGGCGGGCGCCUAAGUCAGCGGUGAAAGGCUGCGGCUCAACCGUAGGAUGGCCGUUGAUACUGGGCGCCUUGGAUUCGGUCGAGGCGGGUGGAAUGCGCGGUGUAGCGGUGAAAUGCUUAGAUAUCGCGCAGAACGCCGAUUGCGAAGGCAGCUCGCCAGGCCGAUAUUGACGCUGAGGCACGACAGCGUGGGGAUCGAACAGG
rnacentral:rRNA from 1 species